GUGCUUGCUUCGGCAGCACAUACAGUAUACUAAGAUUUGAAUGAUACCAUGAAGAUUAGCAUGGCCCCUGCGCAAGGAUGACACGCAAAUUUGUGAAGUGUUCCAUAUUUUU